rnacentral:lncRNA from 12 species
CUUUUUUUGUCUACAUACGGUUCCACCCACUGCCUCCUUCUGUGUGUUGUUUUGAUGAUCCUGUCACUUAGGUUUCUUUGAGCUCAGUUUCAAGGAGUCAACAAUGAACGAAAUGAACUCAGCAUCGGGAUACAGUUUCAAGAAUUCUCCACUUAGUUCGAAACCACCCUAUAUAAUUCCAUCAUACUUGAUUAUAACAUGAAUAGAAACAAAACAGCUAAUCAUGACAUAGAAGCAACUUCAUGUCAAAUAAUAUCCAUGAAUGAGGCAAUUUAGUAAACUCUGAAUUUACUUAGCCUCUUUGAGCAUCCAUAAAGAGGACUUAGCAGCAACCGUCUUUCCAUAUGCCAGGUGAAACCCUCGGAGGGAAUAGGCCUCAGUUUAAUAAUGAAAGAGAAGGGAAAGGGCUGAUAAUUAUUCUGUCUAAACAGUGUUUUGCGGCCUAACAUUGAUUGUGUCUUGAAAUCUUGAAAUCUCCUCUGGGAAUGGAACAGGCAGCUUUUCCUUUGCUUUCACAAACCUCAUGCAAAUUAUUGAAACAUUUUUGCAAUUAUUUUCCUGAAACUGAGUUUUGGCCCAAAGCCUAGAAACACUGAAAAGUGACAUCACACUGCACCCAGAGAUUUGGGUUCCAAACAAUUCUCUGGGGAUCGUACAAGGACGUGUUGGGAGGCCGAUUUCCAUCUCACCGUGUAAACACGGGAGUCUAUUGGUCCUUCUGCCUGUAGAGUCUCCAGAUAAGGACGCCACAAGGUUCACAACCUGUCCUGGGCAGUUCCCACACGUCAGUCAUGAACGAAGUAAUGCAGAAGGAAGUAUAAUUACGUCGUGGUCACUGCAGUGUUCUCUCGGUAGUCAGUGCAAAGUAUGCCACAAACACAUUCUGUGAAUAACGUUCUUGCGGCCAAAAUUCCAUGGAAUGAAAACAUAAUGUUACAUGAAGUAGAAUGACAAAUGCCACUCCAAUCAAUUCCACUCUAGUGCCUGGGGGCUCUAACCCCACAGGGACUUUUGGUUCUGUGUCGCUAUUCUGGAUCCUUCAAACAUGCAACAAGUCACAGAUCCUCUGAAGAUAAGAGACUGCAGGGCAAACUCGUUGAGCCAUGGUAUCAGCAAAUUAUUCCAGAGACAUCUGAAAACUGUAUUAGAAUUUUCAAAACACCCAUAGGGAUCAAAACACCACAUACAAAUUGAACAGGAAGAGAAGCUGACUUUUUAACAUGGUCCCAGGGAGAACGAAAGAGGUAAGUCUCCACAACUUAGAGAUCCCAUUAGCUUGAUAUCAUUGUGUAGGAUACACACACAAGAGAUGUGUAGAUGUGUGUACAAUGACGGAGAGAAGGCAGGUUUUCCUCGGAGCCUUCGUAUGGAGUGCUGUGCCCUUUCUUUCUAGUCUGACUUCUGUCCCAACUUACAGAGUUUGUCUCCCAUGAUCUUGCUCUGGGCCCACGAAGCUGUCCUUAGCAGGAAUCCCAGGGCUCCGUCAGCAGUUGUUUGGCUAACCUCUUCCCUACAGUCAAGCUCCCAGGCCCUUCGUCAGGAACAACUUACGGUAGGUGAGCCUGGAAUUCAGUAAUGCUGUUGGCCAGCUAACCCAGGAUACCUGCUUUAGUUCUGAUACCCAGGCUUGUAAGACCUGGUCCCACCCUAUUCACUGGUCUUGUAACUGGGCUCUCCUAUCUUUCUUGUCCCUGUCUCAGUCACUUAUCUAUCAUGAAUUUUUCUAGAACUAAAACCCACCUUGUUUCUAUUUCUCAGCCCAAGUUUGCUCCUGAAUCUCAGGCCAAGGGCUAGAAUUCUCAAGCCGUGACUACCAAGAGCUU